rnacentral:ribozyme from 1 species
UUUUUUUUUUUUUUUUUUUUUUUUUUUUUUUUUUUUUUUUAGACGGGCACUGUUGAAA